rnacentral:RNase_P_RNA from 1 species
UGAGUAAGUCGGACAGUCGCGCUUUAUAAGUGAGGAAAGUCCGGGCUUCAUAGAGCAGGGUGCCGGCUAACGACCGGUGGAGGCGACUCCAAGGAUAGUGCAACAGAAAUAUACCGCCUGAGUACGGGUAAGGAUGGAAAGGUGGGGUAAGAGCCCACCGCUUCUGUGGUAACACAGAAGGCUAUGUAAACCCCACCUGAAGCAAGACCGAAUAGAGAAACAUAAAGGGGCUGCUCGUCCCGUUUCGGGUAAAGGUCGCAAGAUGAUACUGGUAACAGUAUACCAAGAUAGAUGACUGUCUAAGACAGAACCCGGCUUAUAGACUUGCUCACAAC